GGAUUCCCUUAGUAACGGCGAGUGAAGAGGGAAGAGCCCAGCACCUGAAUUCACCAGCUUUGUAAUUGGAGGAAAAUGUGGUGUUUGGGAGUGUCUAYGAGUUGAUGUUUAUGUUGCUAGAGUCCUCCUGACCGGGGCUUAACCCAGAGUGGGUGUUAGGCCUUUUCAGCAAAUAAAUCCGUCUCUCUGGCGCUCUCGGGAGUCGGGUUGUUUGAGAUUGCAGCCCAAAGUGGGUGGUAAACUCCACCUAAGGCUAAAUACGUGCACGAGUCCGAUAGCGAACAAGUACGGUGACGGAAAGUUGAAAAGCACUUUGAAGAGAGAGUUGGACAGUACGUGAAACCGUUUAUAGGUAAACGGAUGGGACCACAAUGUAUAUGAUGGAGAUUCAGGAUGCCUGAUCGAGACCACAUGGCUUAAGGGAUGAAAUCAACCUGUAGCUGAGGUGGUAAUGCAUCUGGUGGACGCACUUCCUCAUCAUAGAAGGCCACGACCGCUUGGCUGUCAGUCAUACGCGCCUAGCCAAGGUAACUCUGGCUGGAARGCUGGGAUACUUAUAGGGUUUGGGUGGCUCAACUGUGAGAUGAGCGAGGGACUCGGGCCUUGCAGAUUAAAUCUACGCCGCCGAUAUGAAAUGCAACUAUUGAGGACUGCAUGCAGUGCUUAAUGAUAGGUUCAGUCGGGUGUGGGCUGUAGCUGUUUAACUGUGAUGUCAGUGUCAGUGGUGAUUUUUCGGCACCCUAUCCGACCCGUCUUGAAACACGGACCAAGGAGUCUAACAUGUUCGCGAGUCAAAGGGUGUAAUGAAACCCCCAUGGCGUAAUGAAAGUACAAGAGUUUUGACCUAUUUUGGCCGAGACACUGAGGUGUGAUCCCGUCUGUAAGAAGCGGGCGAAGCACUGGCCCGUCUUGCUUCCUUUUCUAUGGAUGAGACGGMGCAGGAGCGUACACGUUGGUACCCGAAAGAUGGUGAACUAUGCCUGAGUAGGUUGAAGCCAGAGGAAACUCUGGUGGAGGACCGUAGCGAUUCUGACGUGCAAAUCGAUCGUCGAACUUGGGUAUA
rnacentral:rRNA from 1 species